rnacentral:rRNA from 1 species
GAUGAACGCUGGCGGCGUGCCUAAUACAUGCAAGUCGAGCGAACAGACGAGGAGCUUGCUCCUCUGACGUUAGCGGCGGACGGGUGAGUAACACGUGGAUAACCUACCUAUAAGACUGGGAUAACUUCGGGAAACCGGAGCUAAUACCGGAUAAUAUAUUGAACCGCAUGGUUCAAUAGUGAAAGACGGCUUUGCUGUCACUUAUAGAUGGAUCCGCGCCGCAUUAGCUAGUUGGUAAGGUAACGGCUUACCAAGGCAACGAUGCGUAGCCGACCUGAGAGGGUGAUCGGCCACACUGGAACUGAGACACGGUCCAGACUCCUACGGGAGGCAGCAGUAGGGAAUCUUCCGCAAUGGGCGAAAGCCUGACGGAGCAACGCCGCGUGAGUGAUGAAGGUCUUCGGAUCGUAAAACUCUGUUAUUAGGGAAGAACAAAUGUGUAAGUAACUAUGCACGUCUUGACGGUACCUAAUCAGAAAGCCACGGCUAACUACGAG